AAUAUUGGACAAUGGGCGAAAGCCUGAUCCAGCAAUGCCGCGUGGGUGAAGAAGGUCUUCGGAUUGUAAAGCCCUUUCGGCGGGGACGAUGAUGACGGUACCCGCAGAAGAAGCCCCGGCUAACUUCGUGCCAGCAGCCGCGGUAAUACGAAGGGGGCUAGCGUUGCUCGGAAUGACUGGGCGUAAAGGGCGCGUAGGCGGUUCAUACAGUCAGGCGUGAAAUUCCUGGGCUCAACCUGGGGGCUGCGCUUGAUACGUAUGGACUUGAGUGAGGAAGAGGGUCGUGGAAUUCCCAGUGUAGAGGUGAAAUUCGUAGAUAUUGGGAAGAACACCGGUGGCGAAGGCGGCGACCUGGUCCUUUACUGACGCUGAGGCGCGAAAGCGUGGGGAGCAA
rnacentral:rRNA from 1 species